rnacentral:rRNA from 1 species
GACGUAGGGUGCGAGCGUUGUCCGGAUUUAUUGGGCGUAAAGAGCUCGUAGGCGGCUCGUCGCGUCGACCGUGAAACCCGCAGCUUAACUGCGGGCUUGCGGUUGAUACGGGCGGGCUAGAGUUCGGUAGGGGAGACUGGAAUUCCUGGUGUAGCGGUGAAAUGCGCAGAUAUCAGGAGGAACACCGGUGGCGAAGGCGGUUCUCUGGGAAUGUUCUGACGCUGAGGCACGAAGGCUAGGGAGCGACAGG